UGAUUUUUGCUUAAAUGGCGGAUUUGUGAAGAGAAAACGCGUGUUUUUUGCUUAAAUGGGGGAUGUCCGAAGAGAAAACGCGUGAUUUUCGCUGAAAUGGGGUAUUUGAGAAGAGAAAAUUCGUGAUUUUCGCAUAAAUGGGGGAUUCUCGAAGAGAAAACUCUUGAUUUUCACUUAAAUUGAAGAUUCUCAAAGAGAAAACGCGAGAUUUUCGCUUAAAUGGGGGUUUUGCGAUGGGAAAACGUGUGAUUUCUGGUUAAAUGGGGGAUUUCUGAAGAGAAAACUCGUGGUUUUUUGUGUUAAUUGGGGGAUUUGCAAAGAGAAAACUCGUGGUUUUUUGUGUUAAUUGGGGGAUUUGCGAAGGGAAAACGCGUGAUUUUCGCUUAAAUGUUGGAUUCUCGAAGAGAAAACUCGUGGUUUUUUGUGUUAAUUGGGGGAUUUGCAAAGAGAAAAUGCGUGAUUUUCGCUUAAAUGGGGGAUUUGGGAAAACACAUGAUUUUCGGGUUAAAUGGGGGAUACUCGAAGAGAAAAUGCUUGGUUUUCUGGUUAAAUGUGGGAUUUGAGAAAACGCGUGAUUUUCGCUUAAAUGUUGGAUUCUCGAAGAGAAAACGCGUGAUUUUCGCUUAAAUGGGGGAUUUCUGAAAAGAAAACGCGUGAUUUUCGGGUUAAAUGGAAGAUUCCUGAAGAGAAAAUGCGUGUUUUUUGCUUAAACGGCGGAUUUGUGAAGAGAAAACGCGUGUUUUUCGCUUAAAUGGGGGAUUUGCGAAGAGAAAACGCGUGGUUUUCUGGUUAAAUGGGGCAUUUCUGAAGAGAAAACUCGUGUUUUUUUGUGUUAAUUGGGGGAUUUGCAAAGAGAAAAUGCAUGAUUUUCGCUUAAAUGUUGGAUUCUCUGAGAGAAAACGCGUGAUUUUCGCUUAAAUGGGGGAUUUCCGAAGAGAAAACGCAUGAUUUUCUGGUUAAAUGGGGGAUUUGAGAAAACGCGUGAUUUUCGUUAAAUGUUGGAUUCUCGAAGAGAAAACGUGUGAUUUUCGCUUAAAUGGGGGAUUUGAGAAAAGAAAACGCGUGAUUUUCAGGUUAAAUGGAAGAUUCCUGAAGAGAAGACACGUGAUUUUUGCUUAAAUGGCGGAUUUGUG
ensembl:lncRNA